GUCCCUAUCGAUUAGUGGUUAGAUCAUCACGUUGUGGCGCUUGUGAAAUGCAUGUGCAGAACCGUGGAGACGGGAGCUCGAAUCUCCCUAGGGACA